AUGGCUACUAUGCUGUGCGUACCUGAACCCAUGGAGAACCGAACAAGAUUCCACCAAAGGUGGAAAGGCUCCGCCAUGGCAAUGGCAUUGCAGCUCGCCAUCCAAUCACUCGCCGCAAGCCUCUUCCGCUCUCCUAACAAACCCGCCACCAAGCCCCCGAGCAACGGCCACCGCCACCCGCAGGAACCAACCGGCAGCAGCAGGUGCAGCGGCAGAAGGAGCCUUGCGGCGGCGGCGGCGGCGGCGGCAGUUGGCACGGCGCUCCUCGCGUCCCAGCUGCUGCCCCCCACGGCAGGCAUCGCGGGCGCGUUCGACCUCGACCUCCGGAUCACCAUCCCGGAGCAGUCGAGCGAGGAGGCCGAGGCCGUGGUGAGGACGCACGCGAGGAACCUGGUGCGCGUCAAGCAGUUCAUCGACGCCAGGUCGUGGCGGGAGCUGCAGACGGCGCUGCGGGCCAGCGCCGCCAACCUCAAGCAGGACCUGUACGCCAUCAUCCAGGCGAGGCCCCCGGGCCAGCGCCCCGAGCUCCGGAGGCUCUACUCCGACCUCUUCAACAACGUCACCAGACUGGACUAUGCAGCCAGAGACAAGGAUGAGCCCCAAGUGCAGGAAUGCUACGGUAACAUUGUGGCCGCCAUUGACCAGAUUUUUGCCAGGAUCAUGUAG
rnacentral:rRNA from 1 species